UUCUUCGACAAUGAGCUUCUCCAUCCAUCUACUAGGCCGCUCCAAAGGCUCUCUGGGCCUCACUAUCAACCGACCUUCUACAGUGAUCAACUAUUCUCCGAAUCCCUUCCAGACUUCUUUCGGCUGCGGACGACCCUACUCCAAACUUCUUCUAGACUUCGUCAAUAUCUGAGCUUCUUCAACGGCGAGAUUUCUACAGUAACCAGACUCCAUCCAAGUUUUUAUAAUGGUCGACCACCU
rnacentral:lncRNA from 1 species